CUCCCUCGUCCCGCCCGCCCUCACCAGCCCUCGCCCGCCCUCACCAGGUCUCACCCUCCCUCAGCCGCCCCCGCCGGCACGGGCAGGGCGGUGCUGCCGGCCGGGAGUGUCCCGCCGUGAGGGGAGCGGCUCCUUGGCCACGGUGGCCGACCCUCCGGUGACAGCCCUCCCUCCACGGGCAAGGUACAGCUGGGGAGCGGAGGAGGAGCGCACCUGGGGCUGUGCCGUGGCCGGCAGGGCGAAGUCUCACAAAUUGAGCCUCACAGAUUGUGUGGACCUGGCAUCGCAAGAGGUCACAGGAUUACAAAUAGGGAAAGUAAUGUCGCGGUGUGUGUCCCGUGUUUGUGCUGCUGCCCAGGUGUCUGGUUUGGACCACACUGGAGGCGAGAGUUGUAACAUCCCCGAUAGUUUUACGUUCCUCUGACGUGGCUUUAAUUUUUGGUUCCGUGUAGCGCCGUGAGACUCCCCCGCCCCGUGCCGCCGUGCGGGCAGCGCUGAUGACCCCGUUGAUCUCCCUGGCACAGACAGGGGUGUUGGAGCUCCUCGGUUCGGUGUCGGACUCACACAGGGCGCUCUGAAGCACCGGCUCCUUCCAGAGCAGCACGUCCAGCACCAUCAUCAGCUUCUGCCUUCGAGUAUUUCUCCGUCCACCGCUUUCCUAAAGGAAAAAAAGCGUAGUUAGUACCUUGCUUUUGCUAGGUUGGACUGAGCUUUUGUAGUGAAGACAAGGUCUUAUAGAAGAAAGCCAGAUUUCUGAUGGGCCUUUGAUGUGUAGAGAGUUCAUUUUUCAGCCAGGAAGGAAGAAACAAAAGGCAGAAGAGUUGGAGGAUCCUCACAGCCCUUGAAGCAGCCUAGGUGAUUAUAAUUUUAGAAGCUGAUUCAUCUGCACUGAUACUGCAGGACUGGAAGAAAAAGAGACCAUCUAACAAUUCAGCAAGUUACUCUGUCCCUUUUGAGGAGCGGAUUUGUGAAUUAGACACACACACACACACAGCUCUGGCAAGGUCGUACCACAGGAUUCUGAAUUACAGUUGCUUUUGAAAGAGAGAAACACGUUUCUGAUCAGUCUGACCCUCCACCAGGCCCAACACACACUUCUACAAACACAACCAUUUUGAGGCCAUUUUGGGAGACAAAAGAGCUGUUUGACUUCAAGACUAAGAUGAAGCUUUCAAGAGUGAUGCCCAUAUGUUGAUGAAAGUAGUAUAAAAAUAUUACCUGUUCAAACAGGAAGGGGGAAAAAAAGAGACAGAAGUUACCUUUUAUUCACUGUUUCAUGCAAACCAGAGCCGCUGAUCCCGUUGCUUUCUCCUUGACAGCGCCCGCUAUGCUCAACGGCAUGACCUGGGAUGUGGAGAGAAAGCCUACACUUGCCUCCUGAUGAGGGACCCUUUGGCUGCAGCAUAAUCCACUGACUUGGAUCCACUGUGCUGUGUGGUGCAAACUGGAUGGACACAAAGCUACAAUCUCUUCCAAAACAGUCAGGGUGUAGCGUGGAAACACAACAAAUGUGGAAGGUUUGUAGGUAAGCAAAGAGGAGCCGGUCACAGCAAACAACAGAGCCAGAGCUGAAGACACCACUCACUGAUAAACCCGGCCAAACCCUUUCCCUUCUGAAACAGAAUCCCUGUAAUGGAAAUAAUUACCAAAGAAACAGACAAAAACUACUCCUGAAUGAAAUUUAAGCUUCAGCAGAGCACAGCACAGCCAGGAAAUACCAAGUACAAGCAACCGUCCCUUCAUCCUGAAUUCACACCAAUUUCUGCUUCUGUUUCCUGUGCAAAAUUAUCAAUCACUCAAAAGCUGCUGCCCAGGGGGGCUGUGGAUGCAGAGUGGCUUGGGACAGCCUUCAUCUGACUUUGCAGAAACACCUGACAACUACCUCAUUUUGAGGUGGCUCUCUGAAAAUACAUGGCAAAAUGCACAGUGUUGGGGGCAAUUUUGUGGGAUGCUUCUGGCAAUACCCAGAAUGAUGUGCAUUACUGGGGGAGGAAAAACUAUGCAAUUCUGGGGUGGUGGGAGUG